rnacentral:misc_RNA from 1 species
CAGUUAUUUCAAGGUUAAUAAUCUGUAGGUCAUUAACCUUGGGAUUUGCAAGGAUAGGCAAAAUUUAGUUUCACAGAUAAGUUCUCGAACUGAAAGGAUUAAAGUCUUAGGAUUACUUUGCAAAGCUAAAAUUAAAAGCUGAUGUAACAUUGAAAGCGAAGCCAUAAUGGCAACAAACAACACAAUUCUGUGUGUACCAUGCAAAUCGCGUGGUGUUUCUUUAACAUCUGUGAAGUACUGUAAAACUUGCAAAGAGCCAUUAUGUAAAUGUUGUGCAGAAUGUCACAAAACAUUUAAAGCAACGAAAGAUCAUGAAUUGACUCAAUGUGUGGAGCAAAAGUCACUGCUUGUAACUUGUAAUGAUUUAGGAAAUCUUCAGAUGUGUAAUCAACACCCUAACAAACAGACCGAGUUCUAUUGCGCUGGUCAUGAUACAUUGUUGUGCAGCUUCUGUUUGCUUAAAUCAGACAACCACAAGCAGUGUGCAAAAAUAAUCGAAAUAGAUGGUGCCGGGAAGUCCUUUAUUAGCAGCCACUUUACGGACAAUGUCAUAGACGCAUGCCAAAAGACUUCGAAUCAACAGAAAAUACCAUAACUGAAAUUGAAAAAGCUAGCGAAUGUGCAAGUAAAAGUAUAGACGCUUUGCGGUGCGAAAUCGAAGGCAUUCGUUCAAAAAUGCUUGAAGCAUUUGAUCGUCAAACAAACCAUAUAAUGCAGUCAGUUUCUGGUGACUUUCUAGACAAUAGUACUAAAUGUAAACAGGCGAUAAAGAAUCUAGAGAACUUUGAAAAGAGAGUCAAAGAAAGUGAAACAAUUUUUAAGAAUGCCGUUGAAAAUGGAGCAACAGCUGACGUGUUUAGAGGCGUAAUAUCUGUUCUUGGACAGUGUGAGCAUUUCCAGAAGGAAAUAGAACAGACAGAACGACUUUGUUCACGGCAGAAAGUUACAUUUGAAAGGUCUGACCUUGUCCAUGCCUUAGUUGUAGACCAAAAUCCAUUACUGCUCUGCAACUUAGACAAAGCUGAAUUGAAACUGCCAAACAGUCACCCAGGUCGACUAAAAAGUGAUUUCAGAAACCACAUUGAUUUAAUACCAAAUGACAUCGUUUCAAAGGACACAGAAGGGCAACGCGAUAGUAUCGUAGAAAGUCAAUCUAGUCCCGAAAGUCUGUCUUCAAGGUUAACUCACGAUUUAAAAACUUCAAGCAGUGAUGCUGAAAUAGAGGAAGAAUUUGGUGGUUCAGCAUCUGUCAAGAAGUAUCAGUCAUUUCUUGAUAUUGAAGUCUCGUAUAGCAGAAGCUUCGACGUAGAACUGUCCGAAGACGCGAACCCUUGGUUUGGUGGUAUCGUGUGCCUUCCAGAUGAAAGACUUAUCUUGUCUGACUAUAAUAAUAAACGAAUAAUCAUGGUUAGAAAUGACUCUAUCAUCUCAGAAAAAGAAAUUGAACUCAAACCUGGAAAUCUAACUCUUUUCAACCAAUACUUGGUAGUUUGCCUUAUGAAGAAAAACAAAUUGCUGAUUAUGAAGAUAAAAGAGAAUGACCUGAAAGAGUACAGCUAUUUGCAAACUCGAUAUCAUCCAAAAUAUGUGCAAACCGUUGAUCAUGAAAGAAUACUUGUUUCAUCUCAACAAAGAAAUGGAGAAUGGUAUCUGGAUCUGAUGAAAUUGCAAGGACAGAAGUGGCGUAGCACCAGAAUUAAUGUUGAACUCACAGGCAGUUACGAUGGAUAUAAGCUCGCUGUUCAACAUGUCCCAGAUCUACAGGGGUUUUCGCAUUAUUCAAUGCUGUGAGGACCCAGACACAGUGCAGUGUUAUCAUGAAUCCGGUGGACCAGCUAUAUUUCAGUACGAAGCUGAAAAUACGUACGUCAGGUGAUAACCGAUCACUUCGGAUAUAUAUUUAUAACCAGGUACCCAGGAGAAGUGCAAGUCCUGGCUCCAGACGGAACCUAUGUCACAUGUAUUCAUCGAAAUGCAAUGCAACGGAUAAAGUUUUCAGCAUUUAACAAAUCAAUGGAUAAACUGUUUAUAACAACCUACAAGGAUUCGAUGAUACAUGUUUUAGAUGUUAAAAGAGAAGAAUAUGUUUAAAAAUAACUGCUCUAUUGCAAAUCUACUAAAAUUGUCCCUUUUGAAAUAGUAAGGGCAGGAAUCAUUUUGAGAACAACAUUUGCCUGAAUUACGAACAUGAUGGUUUAGUGGCUAUUUUAGCAUCGGGUACAGCGAAAGUAGAUAACAUGGUAGAUCUUUUCAUGGUCAUACUGUUACAUUCCCGCGUUGGUUACACGUUAAGAACACUGACUUUUUGAGGUGCAUCAGAGUGAACGUUUAAGGAAUUAUUGAUUUCUAUAUCCAUCAUAUUUAUUCUUUAACUUACCUCUAGCACUGUUCGUUAUUUCACCACAGUGCAAUAUCUCCAGGCUCAGACAUCGUUGGAAAUAUGGGAUUGUGUUUAUUGUAGAAACAUUGUUGCUCUAGAGAUGAUUGCGUUUUGAAAGUGUUGUUACUAGACGCUACACUGUUCAUGUUUUAAUAUAGGUUACACUAUACAUAAUUUUAUAGAGGUUUCAUUGUAUAUUUUCUAUAGAUGUUACACUGAACAUAUUUUAUAGAGAUUACACCGUUUUUAUUUUUAUAAAGGUUACACUGUACAUUUUAUAUAUGUUCUACUGUACACAUUUUACAGUGGUUACACUGUACAUAUCUCUAAAGAGGUUACACAUUUUUAUAAAGGUUACACUGUACAUAUUUGUAUAGAGGUUACACCGUACAGUUUUAUAGCGGUUAAUAUAAUGUACAAAUUUUUUAUAAAGGUUACACUGUAAAUAUUUUGAAGAGGUUGCACUGUACAUGCUUUUAUAGAGACAACACUGUACAUUUAAUAGAUGUUACACUGUACAUUUUAUAGAAAUUACACUGUACACACUUUUAUAGAGGCUAAACUGUACAUUUUAUAGAUGUUACACUAUCCAUAGUUUUAUAGAGGUUAGAAAUAUCAGUUGCACUUAAUUUAUUUUUAUCAAUAACACGUAAUCAAGCAUAUAUGUUCUAACUUGUAGAUUAUAAUGUAAAACAAAAAAGUGCAUUUUUUUAAAUGAUGCUUUUCAAUAUUUUUUUUAUAUUUUAUCGUAUUUUAAACCCUACAGUAAUUCAUGAUAUCUUGGUUCAGUUUUGAUUUACUAGUACCGGAAGCGUAGGCAGAGCGCUUCGGAACUUGCCAACGUUGUCCAUUAAACUUUGGAGGUGAAUACAAGUGAAGUAGUGGUAGCAAAUGAUUGAUGGAGAAAUUGAUAAAUGGAAAUCAAAAGAAAGAGUAUUUACUAGAAAGGGUAGAUAGAAGUUAAGAACCUACAGAAUGUUUAAGUCUGUCUUUUAGACUGAAAAUUAUGUAAAACAACAUUUACCAUUUCAUUUCGUAGAGCUGUGGCUUUAUUUAGGUGUUAUGUACCACAAGUUCGACUAGUAACUGGGAGGUAUGGAAACUGUUUUAACUUUAUAAAUCUUUAUGAAGACUUAAAACGUGUUUUCUUACACUGUCCUCAUGGAAGAAUGGUAUGCAUCAAUCAGAACUAUUGAUAGUCAUUAUGACAAGCUAUCUGGUGUACAGAAACUACAUACUCUACAAACCUGUGGAGCAGCUGCUUUAACAUCUGAAGACAUUUACUGUAGAUAAUAAGUAUAUUAUUUAGAGGGACUGUCGUAUUUGAUAUGUACUAAAAGGGUAUUGUAAAUCUGACAACAUAUAUCAAAUUUGAUUUGACGUGAAAAAAAUCAGUUUUGAACCAUUUUUAUAUGUAUUAUUUUAAUCAUUUGAACUGGUCUGAUUUUUUAAUAUUUAUCGAGGUAUUGUCGUCACAUGAUCGGCGUUGGUUAAGGUCGACUUUUCUUGAAUUUUGUAAGAGCAAUAGCUUUGAAACUUUGCAGACGUGUUACUGUUUAGGUUGUGAGGUCACACGUACAUCCAAUCCAUAACAAUUUCUGGUCUGUAUAACUUCUGGCCGCAGGAUAUCUUUCGACAUGACAUUAGAUUAGUAUGUAGACAGACCAAGAACCAUUGCCCCGACUUACUUUUUGUCAGAGUUGUGGCCCUUUAUGUAUUUAGGAAUUAGAAUUUCCUGUAAACAAUCAUUAGAUUAAUAUGUAGGUCAAGUACCACAACUCUCUCUUGCAUUUUGUCAGAAUUAUGGCCCAUUUUAAAUUUAGAAAUUUUACUUUUCUUGAAUACUAUAGUCUCGAAACUUUAUACAUUUUAUUUUCAUCAAUUAAGCAAGGAACCUUAGAGUUUUGUAGCAUAUUGCCUUAUGUCAAGCACUUUCAGAUGAAGGUUGGUAUCCGAAAGCGGUGCCCUUGUUAAACAAACUUGUAAAAGUAAAGUCAAGGUAUGCAUUUUGGAUCUCAAUGUAUUGAUACACAUUUCUAGUUGUUUACAUAAGGAUCGAUUUACAACAUAGUACCUUAAUAUAAUAUACUUUUAAAAUAACAAUGACCUGUAUCGCUGCUCUCAAUAAUGUUGUUCAGAAAUACACUAAUGAAUUGUAUGGAUAUGCAGACUGACCAUAAAAUAGCUUUCAGAAUUCAAGCUAGAAAUGUGCAGAAUGAGACAAGUGUUCUUAACAACUAAAUGAAUGUCUUAAUGAUGUGAUAUUGUGAGUGACAAAAUUCAAGUUUGAAAAUGAACAGUUCAAAAACUGGGAUCAUCAUAUAUGGAACUAAUGUGAAUGUUGGUGGAUGUACAGUGAAGUGUGUUGAUCAUAAGUAAGCGUUAUUUAUUAAAGUAAGCUAUGCUUUACCCGUCUCUUAUCAGUUCUGUUUAGAAUGGCAUAUGUACUUUUAUAAGAUUUUAUUAUGUUGUAUGGUGUUAUGCAAGACGAAAACUAUUUGAAAUUGAAUAUAAUUUGAGUUAUGAAAUUUUAUUUGUAUUUUUGUAUGUACGUAAUUUUCACAUUUGUAAGGGAUUAUGACAAAUGUCCUUACAUUUUUACUUUUCUUGCUGAAAUUGCAAAAUAUCUCCAUUACAUAUUUAGAAUUGAAUCCACAAAUGCGCGGUUAGACACUAAAGGGACUUCAGUUCAGUUUGUGGAGAUUUCGAGCCGGUGAUGCGGCUUCGAUACCUUUGAGGAUAUCAAUUGUUAUUAAUAUACGAGAGUUUAAGUACAGUUACCGUACACUAUUAAUUACACAUUUCAUAAUCAUUUUUACAGUAUAUAUAUUUUGUUUCUUUUUAUGGAUAUAUAAUUUACAGUUUAUUUCGUUUCUGUGAAAUACAUUACAUUAUGUAUAUAACUUAAACAAUAAAGUUCAUUAU